AUCCCCAAAAAAGGAUGAUGUCAUCCCAGUGCUUGACACUGGGAUCCAGAAAACUUAACUUUAAAUAAAUGGCUGCAUGAUAAAGACUAGAUCCCAGUGUCAAGCACUGGGAUGACAUUAUAAGAGGCUACUCGGAUG
rfam:Glossina austeni unplaced genomic scaffold Scaffold53, whole genome shotgun sequence.